UCCGCGAAAUCUAUUUAGGUAGAGCGUCCGACGAAUUCCUUGGGGGGUAGAGCACUGGAUGGUUGCGGGCUGCGCGAGCGGUACCAAUACUAACCAAACUCCGAAUACCCAAGAGAACUAUCGGGCAGACACACGGCGGGUGCUAACGUCCGUCGUGAAAAGGGAAACAACCCUGACCUACAGCUAAGGCCCCCAAUUCGUGGCUAAGUGGGAAAGGAUGUGGGAAUCCCAAAACAACCAGGAGGUUGGCUUAGAAGCAGCCAUCCUUUAAAGAAAGCGUAACAGCUCACUGGUCUAAAUAAGGGUUCCUGCGGCGAAGAUGUAACGGGGCUCAAGACGUGCACCGAAGCUUAGGGUGUGGAUUUAUCCACGCGGUAGCGGAGCGUUCCGUAAGCGAGUGAAGCGGGAGGGUAACCGACCGUGGACGUAUCGGAAGUGCGAAUGCUGAC
rnacentral:rRNA from 1 species